GACGAACGCUGGCGGCGCGCUUAACACAUGCAAGUCGAACGGAAAGGCCUGCUUUCCCUGUGGAUUGCGGGUACUCGAGUGGCGAACGGGUGAGUAACACGUGAGUGAUCUGCCCCCAACUUGGGUAUAAGCCUGGGAAACUGGGUCUAAUUCCCGAUAGGACUGCAGGGUGGUGCCUGUGGUGGAAAACGAUUUUCUAGUGGUUGGGGAUGAGCUCGCGGCCUAUCAGCUUGUUGGUGGGGUAAUGGCCUACCAAGGCGGCGACGGGUAGCCGGCCUGAGAGGGUGGACGGCGACAUUGGGACUGAGAGACGGCCCAGACGCCUACGGGAGGCAGCAGUGGGGAAUAUUGCACAAUGGGCGGAAGCCUGAUGCAGCGACGCCGCGUGGGGGAUGACGGCCUUCGGGUUGUAAACUCCUUUCGACCGCGAGGAAGCCACCUGGUUGGAAGGGUGGUGACGGUAGUGGUAGAAGAAGCACCGGCUAACUACGUG
rnacentral:rRNA from 1 species